CAAGGCGGCGGGAACUCCAGCCCGUUUGCUCUCUUUCCAGGAAACGUAUCUGAACGCAAAACAGCGGAGUCGAGUAGUUGCAACAGAGACUGUACUCUCUGGUCCCUUACAGAAAAUACCUGCCAAACUCUGUGCUAGUUCAUAGAAGAAUUGUUCCACAAAUGUCUCACAGCCCCCAGAGGGGCAGGCCCAGGACUGAUUCGAGCUAGAGUGACUGUGUGUGUGUGUGCGCGUGCACACGUGUGCACACGCAAAUGCAUGCGAAGCCUCGCACAUGUUCCUGUGACCGUGGACUCCCUCUGA